CGAGACCCGGCCCGAGACGGGCAGCCCCCAUACGGGCCAUGUCCCGAGGCGACCCCCGCACUCCCCCCUGUGGGGGUCGCCUCCCCC
rnacentral:ncRNA from 1 species